rnacentral:rRNA from 1 species
AGUGAACGCUGGCGGUAGGCCUAACACAUGCAAGUCGAACGGCAGCACAGUAAGAGCUUGCUCUUACGGGUGGCGAGUGGCGGACGGGUGAGGAAUACAUCGGAAUCUACUUUUUCGUGGGGGAUAACGUAGGGAAACUUACGCUAAUACCGCAUACGACCUACGGGUGAAAGCAGUGGAUCUACGGACCUUGCGCGAUUGAAUGAGCCGAUGUCGGAUUAGCUAGUUGGCGGGGUAAAGGCCCACCAAGGCGACGAUCCGUAGCUGGUCUGAGAGGAUGAUCAGCCACACUGGAACUGAGACACGGUCCAGACUCCUACGGGAGGCAGCAGUGGGGAAUAUUGGACAAAGGGCGCAAGCCUGAUCCAGCCAUACCGCGUGGGUGAAGAAGGCCUUCGGGUUGUAAAGCCCUUUUGUUGGGAAAGAAAAGCAGCAGGUUAAUACCCCGCUGUUCUGACGGUACCCAAAGAAUAAGCACCGGCUAACUUCGUG